rnacentral:rRNA from 1 species
GGGUUGUGAGGUUAAGCGACUAAGCGUACACGGUGGAUGCCCUGGCAGUCAGAGGCGAUGAAGGACGUGCUAAUCUGCGAUAAGCGUCGGUAAGGUGAUAUGAACCGUUAUAACCGGCGAUUUCCGAAUGGGGAAACCCAGUGUGUUUCGACACACUAUCAUUAACUGAAUCCAUAGGUUAAUGAGGCGAACCGGGGGAACUGAAACAUCUAAGUACCCCGAGGAAAAGAAAUCAACCGAGAUUCCCCCAGUAGCGGCGAGCGAACGGGGAGCAGCCCAGAGCCUGAAUCAGUGUGUGUGUUAGUGGAAGCGUCUGGAAAGGCGCGCGAUACAGGGUGACAGCCCCGUACACAAAAAUGCACAUGCUGUGAGCUCGAUGAGUAGGGCGGGACACGUGGUAUCCUGUCUGAAUAUGGGGGGACCAUCCUCCAAGGCUAAAUACUCCUGACUGACCGAUAGUGAACCAGUACCGUGAGGGAAAGGCGAAAAGAACCCCGGCGAGGGGAGUGAAAAAGAACCUGAAACCGUGUACGUACAAGCAGUGGGAGCACAGAGCAAUCUGUGUGACUGCGUACCUUUUGUAUAAUGGGUCAGCGACUUAUAUUCUGUAGCAAGGUUAACCGAAUAGGGGAGCCGAAGGGAAACCGAGUCUUAACUGGGCGUUAAGUUGCAGGGUAUAGACCCGAAACCCGGUGAUCUAGCCAUGGGCAGGUUGAAGGUUGGGUAACACUAACUGGAGGACCGAACCGACUAAUGUUGAAAAAUUAGCGGAUGACUUGUGGCUGGGGGUGAAAGGCCAAUCAAACCGGGAGAUAGCUGGUUCUCCCCGAAAGCUAUUUAGGUAGCGCCUCGUGAAUUCAUCUCCGGGGGUAGAGCACUGUUUCGGCAAGGGGGUCAUCCCGACUUACCAACCCGAUGCAAACUGCGAAUACCGGAGAAUGUUAUCACGGGAGACACACGGCGGGUGCUAACGUCCGUCGUGAAGAGGGAAACAACCCAGACCGCCAGCUAAGGUCCCAAAGUCAUGGUUAAGUGGGAAACGAUGUGGGAAGGCCCAGACAGCCAGGAUGUUGGCUUAGAAGCAGCCAUCAUUUAAAGAAAGCGUAAUAGCUCACUGGUCGAGUCGGCCUGCGCGGAAGAUGUAACGGGGCUAAACCAUGCACCGAAGCUGCGGCAGCGACGCUUAUGCGUUGUUGGGUAGGGGAGCGUUCUGUAAGCCUGCGAAGGUGUGCUGUGAGGCAUGCUGGAGGUAUCAGAAGUGCGAAUGCUGACAUAAGUAACGAUAAAGCGGGUGAAAAGCCCGCUCGCCGGAAGACCAAGGGUUCCUGUCCAACGUUAAUCGGGGCAGGGUGAGUCGACCCCUAAGGCGAGGCCGAAAGGCGUAGUCGAUGGGAAACAGGUUAAUAUUCCUGUACUUGGUGUUACUGCGAAGGGGGGACGGAGAAGGCUAUGUUGGCCGGGCGACGGUUGUCCCGGUUUAAGCGUGUAGGCUGGU